rnacentral:lncRNA from 1 species
GUGUGAGUGUGAGGCACACGACCCAUCUGCCAGGGCGCCGUACCAGGCGCAGAUGCAUUGCUCUGCGUACGCGGCACCAUGCACAAUUGUGCAAUGCAACAAGCGUAAAAUGCCUACUUACAUAAGCGCCUAGCCCUACACGCGUGUUAACGCGCUAUCUAAGCGCGAAGGCUAGCUGUGUGUGCGCGCCAGACUUAGACCACGAGUGGUCCAUUGGGCCUCAUGGUACUGACCAACUACCACCUACCGCUGGCCAACCGCUACCUACUGCUACCCUACUGUUGUUGUCGCUGCCUUAA